rnacentral:rRNA from 1 species
AGUAAUGUCUGGGAAACUGCCUGAUGGAGGGGGAUAACUACUGGAAACGGUAGCUAAUACCGCAUAACGUCGCAAGACCAAAGAGGGGGACCUUCGGGCCUCUUGCCAUCAGAUGUGCCCAGAUGGGAUUAGCUAGUAGGUGGGGUAACGGCUCACCUAGGCGACGAUCCCUAGCUGGUCUGAGAGGAUGACCAGCCACACUGGAACUGAGACACGGUCCAGACUCCUACGGGAGGCAGCAGUGGGGAAUAUUGCACAAUGGGCGCAAGCCUGAUGCAGCCAUGCCGCGUGUAUGAAGAAGGCCUUCGGGUUGUAAAGUACUUUCAGCGGGGAGGAAGGGAGUAAGGUUAAUAACCUUGUUCAUUGACGUUACCCGCAGAAGAAGCACCGGCUAACUCCGUGCCAGCAGCCGCGGUAAUACGGAGGGUGCAAGCGUUAAUCGGAAUUACUGGGCGUAAAGCGCACGCAGGCGGUCUGUCAAGUCGGAUGUGAAAUCCCCGGGCUCAACCUGGGAACUGCAUUCGAAACUGGCAGGCUGGAGUCUUGUAGAGGGGGGUAGAAUUCCAGGUGUAGCGGUGA